AAAACGGAGAGUUUGAUCCUGGCUCAGGAUGAACGCUGGCGGUAUGCUUAACACAUGCAAGUCGAACGGUCUCUUCGGAGAUAGUGGCGGACGGGUGAGUAACGCGUGAGAAUCUAGCUUCAGGUCGGGGACAACCACUGG
rnacentral:rRNA from 1 species